UACGUAGGUACCUAGCGUUGUCCGGAAUCAUUGGGCGUAAAGAGCGUGUAGGCGGCUAUUUAAGUCCUGCGUGAAAUCCUGCGGCUCAACCGCAGACGGUCGUGGGAAACUGGAUGGCUAGAGUGCGGGAGAGGAGAGUGGAAUUCCCGGUGUAGCGGUGAAAUGCGCAGAUAUCGGGAAGAACACCCGUGGCGAAGGCGGCUCUCUGGAACGCAACUGACGCUGAGACGCGAAAGCGUGGGGAGCAAACAGG
rnacentral:rRNA from 1 species